GGCAAAAUGAGGCCACACAUUUAAAGCCCCUCCUCCUGAUUCUUUUCUCUGCCUUGGCUGCCUCCUGUGGCAUUUUAGGUGCUGAGAAAUGAAAACAGUAGGGAAAAUAGUUCCAGGAUCCUCAUGUUAAUUUGCCAGAAAUGGCAUCUUCAAGUCGUCAGAGGGAUCUGAGAGUUCCUUCCUGGCCUGACUUGAGAAAAUCCGUCUGUCCCCAGCUCUGCGUCUGCCUCCACUGCCCAGUCACCUCCUCUCCAUGCUCUUGGGGCUGGGCCCU
rnacentral:lncRNA from 1 species